rnacentral:rRNA from 1 species
CCUACGGGGGGCUGCAGUCGAGAAUCAUUCACAAUGGGGGAAACCCUGAUGGUGCGACGCCGCGUGGGGGAAUGAAGGUCUUCGGAUUGUAAACCCCUGUCAUGUGGGAGCAAAUUAAAAAGAUAGUACCACAAGAGGAAGAGACGGCUAACUCUGUGCCAGCAGCCGCGGUAAUACAGAGGUCUCAAGCGUUGUUCGGAAUCACUGGGCGUAAAGCGUGCGUAGGCUGUUUCGUAGGUCGUGUGUGAAAGGCGCGGGCUCAACCCGCGGACGGCACAUGAUACUGCGAGACUAGAGUAAGGGAGGGGGAACCGGAAUUCUCGGUGUAGCAGUGAAAUGCGUAGAUAUCGAGAGGAACACUCGUGGCGAAGGCGGGUUCCUGGACAUUAACUGACGCUGAGGCACGAAGGCCAGGGGAGCGAAAGGGAUUAGAUACCCUUGUAGUC